rnacentral:rRNA from 1 species
UAGGGAAUCUUCCGCAAUGGACGCAAGUCUGACGGAGCAACGCCGCGUGAGUGAAGAAGGAUUUCGGUUCGUAAAACUCUGUUGUUAGAGAAGAACAGCGCAUAGAGUAACUGUUAUGCGUGUGACGGUAUCUAACCAGAAAGCCACGGCUAACUACGUGCCAGCAGCCGCGGUAAUACGUAGGUGGCAAGCGUUGUCCGGAUUUAUUGGGCGUAAAGCGAGCGCAGGCGGUCAAUUAAGUCUGAUGUGAAAGCCCCCGGCUCAACCGGGGAGUGUCAUUGGAAACUGGUUGACUUGAGUGCAGAAGAGGAGAGUGGAAUUCCAUGUGUAGCGGUGAAAUGCGUAGAUAUAUGGAGGAACACCAGUGGCGAAGGCGACUCUCUGGUCUGUAACUGACGCUGAGGUUCGAAAGCGUGGGUAGCAAACAGG